CGGAAUAGAUUCACAUUAUGGGACCCAAGGAAUUAAUUAUUAAAUACCAUGAAAUUGAAUAAUACACAAAGGAACAAAAGUUAUAGUGGUGGCAAAUGAUUGUGAAAAGAUUAAAAAAAAUCAAAAGCAUGAGAUGGACAUAGUGGCUAAACAAAUGAAAUGAGGCAAAGUUCAUCAGUAAGCACUGAACGGCAUUGAAGGCGUCAAACCUGGCGUCCAAAUUUGCUGAAUGAGAAGGAUGCGCGCGAUGGAGAUGCGACGCAUCCAUUGUGGCUUCAAUCUGCUAAAUGUCUUUAAAGGUUAUUACGGGGAGGGUUGUGCUAUUAGUUGGGAGUUGGUUCUUAAAAACUUAGAGAGAGAAGGGAGCUCUCUACCAUUAAUACUUUUUCAAGGUAAGAAUUUAAUGUCCUUCUUGGUAGAUUUGGUCCAUUAAAUACAUCUCUUAACUCUUCAAUUAUAUGAAAAUUAUAGAUCUUUGAAGAAAAUCUUAAGAGCACUUUAAGAACAUAAAUCUUGAAACUUUUAGGGUUUGACAAAGAGGUAAUUUCUUCACUCCAAUCUUAUGUACUAUACUCCAUGGAUGUAGUAGAGUAUAUUUAUAAAGUUAGAUUUGAGCUUAAACAUUUAUUCAUGAAACCCUAGAAGCUAAUCCUGAAAUUGAAGAGUUGGUUGGUAGUGAUGAUGAAUAGUGUUGGGUCUUGUUUGAACGAUAUUAUUUUGAGUUUCUAGUGGAACAAUUAGAUCCCAUAACAAGGUUAAUGAAUGAGUGGGAGUUAAAAUUCAAGGAUUAACCUUCAAAUGAUGAAAUGAGGAUUUUUGCUAAACUUAUGAAAUUGGACUUAAGUGUUACAUAUUUAGUUGACUUAGUUGGUAUUGUUGUGACACGUUAUUGAGUUAUGUGAGUUCGUAUAUGUAGAUUGUGACUCGUGGGAAUUAUUGGAUCAAUUGGGGUAAGGUUGGAAGAAAUUUGAGUUACGUUGAAACUUAUUACCCUCAGAGCUUUUCUCCAAACUCAUAUCGUAACACGAUUAAAUUGAGUUUCUAAAUGUGAGUCCUACCUUGUGGGGACGAGCGAGUUGGGAUUGUGCCAUUUCUUGUAUCAUAAAAGAUUUAAGUGCAAUGAAUAUUAUUUUCUUGAAAUAUUAUUCAAAUUUUAAAAAUAAAUAAAUGAGGAAUAGCACUUGUAAUAUUUUGAAAUGAAAAUAUAUGAGUUGUGAAAUAUCUUGGAUUUAACUAUUCUCAAAUAGUUGAUUUGGCUACGAAUAUCGUCAUUGAUAAAUGUAAAGGUUUUGGGAGUUACUUAAGUUCACCGAGAUUGAUCUUGGAUACUUUUCCUCAUUAGGCCAUGAAACUACAUGUGGCAGUGUAGGCGUAGAACCUACCUUAUUGUGCUACUUUAUUAGCACGGCUGAGUCGAUUCGUGCGGCACAACGAUGAGACGACCUGAGCAAGUAGGGUAUAUGAUACUUGUCGCUAGGUACAUAACCUAGUUGACCUCCUUUCGUAUCGGUGAUGGUAUAACGCUCCCGGUAAAUGAAAAAUCUAAUAUGAUUUGCAAAGAUUAAAGCUAAAAGAAGACUUUGAAAUAUGUUUUACCAUAUUAUUUUAUUUUAUUUUCUAAAUUGUUAAUUGAUAUGAAGGCUUCUUUCUUAUAUCAAUUGUUAUUGCAUAUCUUAUAUCUUCUUAAGUCUUGUCCUACUUUCUUUUGGGAAACGGUUCAUGAUUUGUACUAGGCAUGUGGAGCUUAGGCCUUUUGGCCACAUUUUUAUUUCUGUUUUCAGGGACUGGACAUGAGCAGCUUGGACUGCGUGGUUAGGCAUCUCUACAUUUUCUGUUGACGCUUUUGGUGAGACUUCACACUCGUACCGUGGAGAAUUUAUUUAUAUGAUUAUCCUUUUAAGCCACCGGGUUAUGUUUUGGUUGGCUAUUUCAUUUUGUGUCAUAUAGAUUCCAUAGACAAUAGUAUUAUUCAUUUUGGGUUGUAAUCCUAUGGUUACUCAUAUGGCAUGCAUGAAUGAACCUUUUUUUUAUCUUUAUGAAGUUCACUUUCAAAGAAAAAUAUUUAUUUAAAGAUAUUAUUCAUGUCUUGUUUUAUAUCUUAAAAUGAUUGUACUUGAAGAGGCUUUCGCAUCCUCCCG
rnacentral:lncRNA from 1 species